CGCUGGCGGCGCGCCUAACACAUGCAAGUCGAACGAGCAAAGAGGAGCUUGCUUCUCUGAGCGACCGGCGCACGGGUGAGUAACGCGUAUCCAACCUGCCCAUCACUUGGGGAUAACCUUGCGAAAGUAAGACUAAUACCCAAUGAUAUCUCUAGAAGACAUCUGAAAGAGAUUAAAGAUUUAUCGGUGGUAUAAGAUGGACCCGCGUCUGAUUAGCUUGUUGGCGGGGUAACGGCCCACCAAGGCGACGAUCAGUAGGGGUUCUGAGAGGAAGGUCCCCCACAUUGGAACUGAGACACGGUCCAAACUCCUACGGGAGGCAGCAGUGAGGAAUAUUGGUCAAUGGACGAGAGUCUGAACCAGCCAAGUAGCGUGCAGGAUGACGGCCCUAUGGGUUGUAAACUGCUUUUAUAAGGGAAUAAAGUGAGUCUCGUGAGGCUUUUUGCAUGUACCUUAUGAAUAAGGACCGGCUAAUUCCGUG
rnacentral:rRNA from 1 species